CCCUUAGAUGUUCUGGGCCGCACACGCGCUACACUGAAGGAGGCAGCGUGUACUCCAGGAUCGAAAGAUUUGGGUAACCCGCGAAUCUCCUUCGUGCUAGGGAUUGAGGUUUGCAAUUAUCCUUCAUGAACGAGGAAUUCCCAGUAAGUGCAAGUCAUAAGCUUGCGCUGACUACGUCCCUGCCCUUUGUACACACCGCCCGUCGCUACUACCGAUUGAAUGAUUUAGUGAGGACUUCGGACUGGGACCGAUGCGGCUUUCGGGCUGCGUCGGUAUUCUGGAAAGAUGUCCAAACUGUAUCAUUUAGAGGAAGUAAAAGUCGUAACA
rnacentral:rRNA from 1 species